rnacentral:lncRNA from 1 species
AUGUCUGUUUUUGUGUUCUCUGCUGUUUGCCUGUGUUUCAGGGGCCCCCUGGUCCUCCGGGUCCCCCCGGGCCUCCAGGGCCCCAAGGCUUUAGAGGACCGCCGCUUCCUGAUAAAUUCCCUCCAUCCGUCCCCAAAGUGGACCCCAAGAAGCAGGAGCCCUGUGAAGACUGCGCGCAUGGCCUGCCUGGCGUGCCUGGCCGUUCGGGCACCAAGGGCGACAAGGGUGAGCAGGGUGAGCAGGGCAAACCGGGCAUCACGGAGGCCGACGACUGUGAGCGGUGCUACCAGAGGCUUCAGGGGGAAGAGCCUGCUCAGGAAGUAUCAAAUCCCACGACAACAGGAACUGUUAAUACGGGCUGUGCAGGUGGAGCGGGCUCACCAGGUCUCCCAGGACAUCCAGGUGAACAGGGUCCUGCAGGCCAGAGAGGGUUCGCUGGUCCUCCGGGUGCGAUCGGUCCUCCAGGCUUCCCUGGUCCACAGGGUCCUUCUGGCCUUCAGGGCAUGCAGGGAGAGAGAGGGACAGCUGGACCACCUGGCCUGA